UCUUAUGGAUGAUCAAAGAAAGUGGUUUCUUGAGAUGUAAUCUACGCCUGAUGAAGAUGCUGAGAA
rnacentral:pre_miRNA from 1 species